AAAGCGUGUUCUUGUUGCACUUACUACCAGAUGGUGGCGGUAAUGCGCCCUUAAGUUGUUUGCCAACCGUCAUUAAAAACAGAAAGAAGAAGAAGAAGAACCGCCUCGUUAAGGUAACGCAGAACAGGUGUGCAUAAUCAAGGCGUGCAACGACUGCAGUACAACGUAAGCUGGAGUGCAAUUUUAGAACAGUUCUGAGGAGCCGCCUAAAUAAGCCAUCUUGCCGUUUUUGAAGCCACCGGAAAGCCACCAGUCGGAAGUCGCGAGCACCUUUUUGAAGAGGCCGAGGACGGCAAGUCAGCAGGAGGAAGAUGAAGAGGAGGAGGCUUCACGUCGAAGAUGCCACCGCUCAUAUGUCACAAGGUUGUGAGCUGGUUAGAGAGUGACUACGACAAACUCCGGACCCAACACCUGGGAUCUCUGUCUGGAAAAGUGCAGAUACGAUACUGUCCAGAAGCCUCCAGCUCCGAAGCCUCUGUUGGCGGACCAAGCUUCAAGUGGAAUAAAGGUGCAUCAUGAUUUGAAUCGCCAUUCUGCCAAACCCCCAGACCUCCGUGCCUCCUCCUGGGUGACAUUUCAGACGGGCCCCGAGGGCGACUGGAGGGAAGACAUUGAACAAGCUCUUCUCUGUACAGCCGUAAUGCUGCAUUCAGGUCAGACCUGGAAGUUUGAUUUCUCUACUUCCCAGAGGGAAAUGCAACAAGAAUGGCCAAAGAAGUUGUGAAUUCAGACUGAGCAGGUCAAAAGUUACCAAUCAGCC